CGCCUCUGGCCGCGGCGGCCGCCGCCUCGCUCCGCCCCGGGGAACUGAGCGCGCGGCCAGCCAGCCUGCCAGAGAGACGCCAGCCGCCGGCGGCGCUAGCACCUCGGAGGAGGGUAGCCGAAGCGAGUGGAGCGCAGCGCUGGGAGCCGGACUGGGGGUGGGGAAACCAGCCCGGUCCAGGCGAGGGCCACCCCCGGUCCUCUGCCCUCRCGCCCCGCCAGGGCCAGUUCUCUCCCCAUCCUCUAAACUCCUGAGCUUGGAGAAAGUGAAGUCUAAAAACCAGUCUUUCUCUAUGUGAAUGCCAAACCUUGUGGAGAAUUUGUGUGGUGGAGUUUCUCUCAUCUCAGGUGUGACCUGCACUCUCCUUGAAAACCUGCACCUGUCUGAUUCUCAGAAUUCCAUGUUCUUCCAACGACAUUGACAUAUUUGAUGUGUUAAAGCAUUAAAAAAAAGGAAAAUAUUUGCAAUGUGUAGCGAGUGAUAUUUUCCAUGAAGGAAACCUUAAUUGAAAAUGUAUAAUUUCUGAACUCCAAGGGAAGAAACAACUAUUAGACUAUAUAUAUUCCAAGUAUGUAUAUAUGUAACUAUAUAUGAUCAUUAUCUACAUAUUAUACAUGUAUAACUUUUUAAUUCUUAAUUCCAUUUCCUGGACUUGGUAGUUUCUUUUAACUAUGAUGCUCAUGGCUUGCAUGCACUCAGAAGCCGACAGAUAGAAGGGACUGGAGGAUCURCCCAAUUCAAUUGUCAGGUAGAGGGGAUUAUGCAGAGCUUUAUUUUAUUGUGACUUGAAUAAAAGGUUAGAUUCUCCAGCCUGUAGGGAGAGU
rnacentral:lncRNA from 1 species